GCCUCAGCCACGCCGAAGUCGGGUUCCGCGCCUCAGGGCUUCCGCCGCAGCCACCGACGGCGAGGAGCGCGUGCGAUGACAGUUUCCAGCGAGGAGGUUUAUAAACGCGGAUCGUUGUGGGGAGAUUCCCUGAAACGUGAACAGUCGCAGAACGACGGGCGCAGACAGCACGGCCGCGAGCGGAAGGAGGGUUAACUGCACGUCUACGGGUUAGAGCACGGUCCCGCUUCAUCAAAACCGUGGGGCGAGGAGGCCGUACCUCAAAGUGCUGGCCAUACAGACAAACCUUAUGUAAGUGAAGACGUAUCAAUUUCCAGGUUUUUGCAAGCCAUUUCUACAUUUCACAAGUGUAUAGAGAUUGGGUAUCUUUAGCUUGAAAGCGUGUGGUAACAUUUUUCUUUUCAGCCAUUAUCUCUUAAGUUUCUUUUGUUGGCAGAACCGUCUAUGAAUCUUGGCGGUGGUCACUAAGUGAAUCAAAUUUACUUUGAUAUAUAUAAGAAAUACAGUUUUCCAAUUUCAAAUUGAUAAUCAACAAACAUGCCUGCCCAGCAUCUAAGUUUAAUGUCAUAAACUACAUAAUCUUCGGAAGUAGAAAUAAAUACAGAAUCCUCAGAGAUAGAAGGACCAAUUUAGGGGCGCCUGGGUGGCUCAGUGGGUUAAAGCCUCUGCCUUCGGCUCAGGUCAUGAUCCUGGGGUCCUGGGAUCGAGCCCCGCAUCAGGCUCUCUGCUCCGCGGGGAGCCUGCUUCCUCCUCUCUCUCUCUGCCUGCCUUUCUGCCUACUUGUGAUUUCACUGUCUGUCAAAUAAAUAAAUAAAAUAUUUAAAAAAUUUAAAAA